GGCCUCGUAGCGCACUGGUAGCGCAUCUGCAUGUCGUGGCACCCUGCCAACUCGUCAAUUCUACAGCAGACUUACAGCCUGUUCGAACCAGGUCGGGGCCA